rnacentral:rRNA from 1 species
GACGUAGGGCGCGAGCGUUGUCCGGAAUUAUUGGGCGUAAAGAGCUCGUAGGCGGCUUGUCGCGUCGACUGUGAAAACCCGCGGCUCAACCGUGUGGCUUGCAGUUGAUACGGGCAGGCUAGAGUUCGGUAGGGGAGACUGGAAUUCCUGGUGUAGCGGUGAAAUGCGCAGAUAUCAGGAGGAACACCGGUGGCGAAGGCGGGUCUCUGGGCCGAUACUGACGCUGAGACGCGAAAGCGUGGGGAGCGAACAGG